rnacentral:rRNA from 1 species
GAUGAACGCUGGCGGCGUGCUUAACACAUGCCAGUCGAACGGAAAGGCCCAAGCUUGCUUGGGUACUCGAGUGGCGAACGGGUGAGUAACACGUGGGUGAUCUGCCCUGCACUUCGGGAUAAGCCUGGGAAACUGGGUCUAAUACCGGAUAGGACGAUGGUUUGGAUGCCAUUGUGGAAAGUUUUUUCGGUGUGGGAUGAGCUCGCGGCCUAUCAGCUUGUUGGUGGGGUAAUGGCCUACCAAGGCGUCGACGGGUAGCCGGCCUGAGAGGGUGUACGGCCACAUUGGGACUGGGAUACGGCCCAGACUCCUACGGGAGGCAGCAGUGGGGAAUAUUGCACAAUGGGCGCAAGCCUGAUGCAGCGACGCCGCGUGGGGGAUGACGGCCUUCGGGUUGUAAACUCCUUUCGCUAGGGACGAAGCGUUUUGUGACGGUACCUGGAGAAGAAGCACCGGCUAACUACGUG